rnacentral:sRNA from 1 species
AGAGUUUACACCAGUGUCUAGAUUAGAUCAUAACUAUUUCCUAACUCAUUGUGUCAAAAAUCUCAACCACAGUAUCACUGGAUUAUUUCAACUACAGGAACAGUGGUCAGUGUCCAGACAUACCAGCUGCAGAGAUUUAUAUGAUAAAUUCAAAACUAUCUUCACCAUUGAUGGUCGAAAAGCGACUUUGUCAUUACCAGAUCUUUUAAAGGAAAAGGUGUUUGGCUGGUUGGGAAAGGAACAAGAUUUAUACAAAGAAGUUUUUAAUCAGGAUGUCAUUCAUGUUAUUAAUGAGUUUACACAUGAGCAUACUGUAUUCAAUCCUCUACGUGACAAGAGACCAGUGGCGCCACCUAAAGAACCAGAAGAUGUUU